CGCUAUACUAACCUCGAAAUUGCCGGUCCAUGACCUUUGGACCGGUUUUUCUUGUCA
rnacentral:sRNA from 1 species